GACGAACGCUGGCGGCGUGCCUAAUACAUGCAAGUCGAACGCAGUGGGGACGGGUGAAUAACACGUGGGUAACCUACAAUCAGAGGGGAUAACACUUGGAAACAGGUGCUAAACCGAUACUGAUGGAUGGACCCGCGGUGCAUUAGCUAGUUGGGAAGGUAAAGGCUCACCAAGGCCACGAUGCAUAGCCGACCUGAGAGGGUUAUCAUCCACACUGGGACUGAGACACGGCCCAGACUCCUACGGGAGGCAGCAGUAGGGAAUCUUCGGCAAUGGACGAAAGUCUGACCGAGCAACUCCGCGUGAGUGAAGAAGGUUUUCGGACCGUAAAACUCUGUUGUUAGAGAAGCGGUAUCUAACCAGAAAGCCACGGCUAACUACGUGCCAGCAGCCGCGGUAAUUC
rnacentral:rRNA from 1 species